GAGAGAGAGAGAGAGAGGGGAGAGAGAUGAACAAAACUGAGAUAGACCAUUUGUAAAUUACCCUUUUCCGCAUCAGCUGUUUUUUACAUGUCAGCACGCAUGUGUUUCACGCUCUCAAGCUUCAAGCAAUGUGUUUGAUAAUGCUAAAAUAAAAAUUCAUGUGUUAAGAUGCCACUAGGCUUUUUGUGUAAAGUUCAAGAGGCAAAAUAUGUAUUCGGCCAAUUGAAAUAUAGUGACUAAUUUGAUUUGGUAAAUGGUUCAGUGACUAUGGAUGAAAAUGGAUGAAAUUUGUGCUACAAAUAAUUACUCAACUUCGAUUUCAUUUCAAUAAGGUCACUAUUAUCAUUUUUGUAGAGACUAGGCAAUUUUUUAUAUGUUAGAUAAGAAAGUCCUACAGGCUCAUUUUAGUAGCAGAAGCAAAUUAAAAAAAUUUUACUUGGUUGUCAUAUAAAAAAUAUUUUGAAAUCCUAUCAUAACCCAGCAAUAUUGACCCUACUGAAACAAAUCAAAUUUGCCGUUAUAAGUUGAAGUUUAGUGACUAAUGAAAUCAAUAAUAAGUGCAAUUGAACUGUGCUACUGUAUUAUGGUUCGUAUUUAAGCAUCAUGGAAUCCUUUUUUGAGUUUCUGUGGCUCUAUUUAUACCUGAAAGUUGACUUUUUUUGUCUUGCUGUCCAAUGAAGAGAAAUUCUCAAUUUAAAAGAAAAAAAAAGGUCUUUAGUUUUUUAAUACACUAGUUAUUAUUUAAUUUUACUCCAUUGAUCUUUAUUUUUUAUUUUAUUUUAUGCAGCGCUCCUUCUUUGGCUUUAAUGGCUCAACUUUCUGACCAGGUUCAUUUCUAAGGUAAUAUAUCCCCAUAAAGUAUGUCUAUCUGGAAAAUGCUGCAGAUUGAUUAAAGUCAUUUUCUGACUUCUAGCAGCAGCUGCUGUUUAUUUAUUUUUUUGCCUUAAUUAGUAGUUUUACUUGCUUCAAACCACAUAGUUCCCUAAGUUCUAUUGUAUCUUCAAAACACCGUGAUUAAGUGUUAUUGUUGUUCUGAAAAUAGGAGCGUUUACUUCAAUCCUUGCUGUUCUUUGGUGAAUCUUGCCUUCCAUACUAAAAAAAGUAAUGCUUAUGCAUUGCUCUUUUUAUACUUGAUGAAUCCACAGCUUAUCGUAAACGAAAAACAAUUUGAUAAGAGACGAUGAACUUUUGGGUUUGACUAGGAAUGGCAAUGGGAUGGGGGAAUGAUAUUUUACAAUUUAUUUUCUACUAAGGUGAAGC
rnacentral:misc_RNA from 1 species